CAUUUUGGCAUAAAUCUACUCACCUAAAGAAUCAAUGAUGACCAGAAUUUAAUAAUGCAAAAGAUUGAACAACAUAAAUAAAGACCAACUUGCUUUUUUCAAACAUAUGAUCACAGUCACGUGAUUUCUGUUAAUCGUGUUUACUGUAGUGCAAUUCAAAAUUCAAAUCUAUCAUUAAAGUAUUUAUGUGGUCGAAGUAUUCACGAGAAAAAUUUAGUUGGAAGUUUUUUUUUCGAUAUUUCAAUAAGUUAUAGAAUUGAUACGAACAUUAAACAAAUAAUUGAAUAAAGGAUAUUCAGUAAGUCAAUUCAGCCACCAAAAUCAGCUGGUCAAUGUUUCUGCAUCAAUCGCAUAAUGAUGUUUUCCCUAUUUUUGUAUUUAAAGCAUAUUGAAUCACCCUUCGAAUAAUAUAUUUGUGAAUAAUUGAAUAAUAACUCAACCUUGAAUACGAAUCAUCGAAGAAAUUCAUUAAAAAAUCCGUUCAACUCUAUACAUAAUGGGAAACAAAGUGGUUACAUUCACUGAUGAGCAAUUGGAAAAUUAUCAGGAUUGUACAUUUUUUACUCGGAAGGAGAUAUUAACGAUUUUCAAACGGUACCGAGAACUCGAUCCAAAAUCGGUUCCUCAAGUAAUGACUGGAGAUGAAGCUCAUACUGUAUCCUUGCCUUUGGAAAAAUUUGAAAAAAUGCCUGAGUUGAAGGAGAAUCCAUUUAGAAAUCGUAUAUGCAAAGUUUUCUCUCAUGAUGGCUCUGGAAAUAUGACAUUUGACGAUUUUCUUGAUAUGCUUUCAGUUUUCAGUGAAAGUGCACCUAGAGAUGUAAAAGUGUAUUAUGCAUUCAAAAUUUAUGAUUAUGACGAUGAUCAUUUUAUAUCGGGAAAAGAUAUUGAACAGACAACUAUUGCAUUAACCAAGAACCAAUUAUGUCCAGAGGAGAUUGCAGUUGUUCGUGAAAAGGUUUUGGAAGAGACUGACAAUGAUAGAGAUGAUAAAAUAUCUUUCACUGAAUUCCAACAUGUGAUCUCUCGAGCACCUGAUUUUCUCAGUACAUUCCAUGUUAGGAUUUAACGUGAAUUGGAACCAGAUCACCAUCAACUAGAAUUUCUUAGAUUUACAUUUGUUAUUCCAGCUAUUCAAAGCAACUACAUUUAUAUCGCGCAACAAUCAGUGACCUUAUGAUAACCUUUAACUGCUAAAUCCUGAAUUGCUAUUAAUUUGGACCAAAUCGGAUACCGGAAAACUAAGAAAUCACGAGUAUCAAAGCAUUAGUCUUGAUGUUUGAGGAUUACUUUAAAGAUUCAAUCUAUUAAUAUUACAAUCCAUCCACCACCAUAUCUAAUUAGAUUGUUCAAAGUAAACUUAGUGCACAUGAAAAUGAAUUGUAGGCGGAUUCUCAGCAGAUUGUUCAUCUUGUCAAUUUUUUAAAUACUGAUUACAAUCAGCUUUUAUAUACAACUUAGAGACAAAACUGAAUUGAUUACUGUUUACACAAUUGUAAAGAUGAUUGAUUACAAAAAUGGAGGACAAGAAGUUUAAGAGAGUCAAUGUUUUUGAUGGUUAAAGUUGCCUGCAAACGCCAACAAUCAACUAAUUUCGGAGUCCAUUUCAAAGAGUCAAAUCAAUUGACAUAUGGACUGUGAUUGUGUACCUUAAGGAUAGUCAUAAGUGAUAUGAUAAAUACUUUACUCAUCUUCAUUAUAUUAACCUCUGAUGGAAUAUUUAAUUAUACUUAGAUAUGCAGCUUAAAAAGAUUAGAUUAAUUAGAGGAGUUAUAAAAUACUAAAAUUCAAUUAGAGUGAUUAGAUUGAGUGAUAAAGAAAAGUUAUUUUAAUCGUUCAUUUCUUCUCAUUAAUUUGGCUGAUUAUGGAUGGCAAAAUAACAAUUUAUAAGUUCAUGGUCGCUUGAAGCAUUCAACUUGAAUUACAUUGAUGAUUGUUUAUUUACAUCAUUAUUGAUGAGUGUUAAUGCAUGUUUCAUCUUACUCUUUAUUUCAAAUACAAUCAUCUAAUUGUUCAAAUCUCAUUUCUACGCCUUUUCUUCCUCUCUCUAUUAAACUGAUAACGUUUUCAGUCUCAUAUGAUUUUCAGUGAAACUGUCGAUAUAAUUCAAUUGGUUUUUUGCCUUUCCUAUGCACUCGACAAUAGCUACUAAUACACUGCUGAUACCAUUGUUACUGCUGGUUGUUGGUAACCAUUUAGAUUAAAUUUAAAAUACUUUUCACCUAUUUUUUCAAUCAAUUUAUGUAUUAUGUACCAAUUCUGACUUAUUCAGCUCUAUUGCUUGAAACCUUUUGAUAACCAAUCAGCGAUUCUUUUGUUAAACAAAAUAACUGUAACCACAAUGAAAAUUUCAUUGAUUAUCAUCUGUUGUCAAUUCAAGGUCUCUUAAAAUUUAACCAGCUAAGAAGAUGGAAACAAUUCAAAUUGAAUUCCAGAGUAAAACAAUGAAUAUUUCCUGUAAUCAAAGUUAAUGGUAGAUUUGUAAUAGUUAUUGGCUACACUGAAUGGCCAUGAUAAUGGUUGACCUUAGCAAAUGAAUAAAUUUUGUAUUCCAUUCAAGUUAAA